ACCUUAGAGACCAACUAAGUUUGUUAUUGGUAUGAGCUUUCGCGUGUAUCUGAAGAAGUGUGCAUCCACACGAAAGCUCAUACCAAUAACAAACUUAGUUGGUCUCUAAGGU